rnacentral:lncRNA from 1 species
CCCCCUAGUUAUUUUUCAGCAAAUCCCGGAAGUAUUGUUUUUAAAGGGACAGAAUAAUUUCAUGGGCGAGGGCUUUGGACCAAGAGCCAGGCAGAAAAUAGCAAAGGCCCGUUGGCAGAGUUGCCUAUAGGACGUGGAAAGGAGAAGAAAGACAAUCAAACAGCUUUGUCGACAUUUGGAAAGCAGGAUCUUGUAUCCUCAUCGGUCAGAUAUAUCUUCGUUACACUGUGGGAUUUCAACGCAGAUAGUUUGACGUCGAUUACACUGAAGAUCUGGAGAUCCUGUCUGCUGUCUAAAAUAGGAUCAAACUCUUCCUCCAGAUAUGAAGGGAAUGUUAGUUUCCUGACUGCUGCAGCCCUUGUUAUUGUCAUCGUUAUAUGUUUGCUGUGGGGGAGGAACAGAAAGAAAGGCCUGCACUCCCUAAUUCCAUGCAAGUAACCCUUCAACUCAUCACAGUCUUGAAGCAACAACAAGCACGACUUAAGAGCUCCGACAGAGAGGACGGAGAAACAGACGAGGAGGAAAGGGCAGGAGUUCUUAGAGAGGUUGUGUCUCUGGAAUGCCUGGCUCAGGAUGCAGCCGCUGAGCAGUCCACUCCUUUCAGGAGCCAAGGGGAGGUGUGA